CUAUGUAAUGAGUAGUAAUGAUGCUAUGUAUGAGUGUUAAAGUAGUAAUAGAGUGCUAGGUAAUGAGGGUAGUAUGAGUAGUAAUAGUGAGUGCUAUGUAAUGAGUGGUAGUAAUGGAGUGCUAUGUAAUGAGUGGUAGUAUUGAGUAGUAGUAAUGAGUGCUAUGUAAUUAGUGAGUUGCUAUUCUAAUGUGGUAGUAAUUGGAGUAGUUAUUAGUGAGUGCUAUGUAAUGAGUGUAGUAUUG
rnacentral:lncRNA from 1 species